AGAGUUUGAUCCUGGCUCAGAUUGAACGCUGGCGGCAUGCCUAACACAUGCAAGUCGAACGGCAGCACAGAGGAGCUUGCUCCUUGGGUGGCGAGUGGCGGACGGGUGAGUAAAGCAUCGGGACCUACCCAGACGUGGGGGAUAACCUCGGGAAACCGGGACUAAUACCGCAUACGUCCUACGGGAGAAAGCGGGGGACC
rnacentral:rRNA from 1 species